AGUCUACCUGCCCACUGAAUAAAUUUAAAUGGCCGCAGUAUACUAACUGUGCAAAGGUAGCAUAAUCAUUAGUCUUUUAAUUGAAGGCUGGUAUGAAUGGUUGGACGAGAUAUUAACUGUUUCAUAAAAGUUUAUAAUAGAAUUUUAUUUUUUAGUCAAAAAGCUAAAAUAAAAUUAAAAGACGAGAAGACCCUAUAAAUCUUUAUAUAUAAAUUAUUAGAAUUUUAUAGAUUUUUUUUAUUAUAAUAAUUAAUUAUAUUUUAUUGGGGUGAUAUUAAAAUUUAAAAAACUUUUAAUUAUUAAAAUCAUUAAUUUAUGAAUAAUUGAUCCGUUAAUAACGAUUAAAAAAACAAGUUACUUUAGGGAUAACAGCGUAAUUUUUUUGGAGAGUUCAUAUCGAUAAAAAAGAUUGCGACCUCGAUGUUGGAUUAAGAUAUAAUUUUAGGUGUAGUCGCUUAAAUUUUAAGUCUGUUCGACUUUUAAAUUCUUA
rnacentral:rRNA from 1 species